AACCUGGUUGAUCCUGCCAGUAGUCAUAUGCUUGUCUCAAAGACUAAGCCAUGCAUGUCUAAGUAUAAGUAUUAUACAGCGAAACUGCGAAUGGCUCAUUAAAACAGUUAUAAUUUAUUUGAUAAUCGAAUUUACAUGGGUAACCGUGGUAAUUCUAGAGCUAAUACAUGCUGGUGGGCCCGACUUUUUGGAAGGGCGGUAUUUAUUAGAUAACAAACCAAUAUUCCUCUGGUCUAUUGUGGUGAAUCAUAAUAACUGAUCGAAUCGCAAGGUUUUUAACCGCGAUAAGUCAUUCAAGUUUCAGCCCCAUCAGCUUUCGAUGGUAGUGUAUUGGACUACCAUGGCGUUUACGGGUAACGGAGGAUUAGGGUUCGAUUCCGGAGAGGGAGCCUGAGAAACGGCUACCACAUCUAAGGAAGGCAGCAGGCGCGUAAAUUACCCAAUCCUGACUCAGGGAGGUAGUGACAAGAAAUAACGGACCGAGGCCUUCGGGCUUCGGGAUUGGAAUGAG
rnacentral:rRNA from 1 species